UACGGAGGGAGCUAGCGUUGUUCGGAAUUACUGGCGUAAAGCGCGCGUAGGCGGUUUUUUAAGUCAGAGGUGAAAGCCCAGUGCUCAACACUGGAACUGCCUUUGAAACUGGAAAACUUGAAUCUUGGAGAGGUCAGUGGAAUUCCGAGUGUAGAGGUGAAAUUCGUAGAUAUUCGGAAGAACACCAGUGGCGAAGGCGACUGACUGGACAAGUAUUGACGCUGAGGUGCGAAAGCGUGGGGAGCAAACAGG
rnacentral:rRNA from 1 species